rnacentral:rRNA from 1 species
GAUGAACGCUAGCUACAGGCUUAACACAUGCAAGUCGAGGGGAAACGGCAUAGAGUGCUUGCACUCUUUGGACGUCGACCGGCGCACGGGUGAGUAACGCGUAUCCAACCUUCCCAUUACUGUGGGAUAACCUGCCGAAAGGCAGACUAAUACCGCAUAGUCUUCGAUGACGGCAUCAGAUUUGAAUUAAAGAUUUAUCGGUAUAGGAUGGGGAUGCGUCUGAUUAGCUUGUUGGUGAGGUAACGGCUCACCAAGGCAACGAUCAGUAGGGGUUCUGAGAGGAAGGUCCCCCACAUUGGAACUGAGACACGGUCCAAACUCCUACGGGAGGCAGCAGUGAGGAAUAUUGGUCAAUGGACGAGAGUCUGAACCAGCCAAGUAGCGUGCAGGAUGACGGCCCUAUGGGUUGUAAACUGCUUUUGUUUGGGAAUAAUCGACAUUACGUGUAAUGUUUUGCAUGUACCAUUCGAAUAAGGACCGGCUAAUUCCGUGCCAGCAGCCGCGGUAAUACGGAAGGUCCAGGCGUUAUCCGGAUUUAUUGGGUUUAAAGGGAGUGUAGGCGGUUGGUUAAGCGUGUUGUGAAAUGUAGAUGCUCAACAUCUGACUUGCAGCGCGAACUGGCUGACUUUGAGUACACACAACGUAGGCGGAAUUCAUGGUGUAGCGGUGAAAUGCUUAGAUAUCAUGAAGAACUCCGAUUGCGAAGGCAGCUUACGGGAGUGUUACUGACGCUUAAGCUCUAAGGUGCGGGUAUCGAACAGG